GGUGCCGCGGGAGGCCGAUUGCAAGUGUCGACAAGCAAUCGGAAUGCGAAAUGAGGUGGGUUGUGCUUACCGAAGCGACUAGGUCGCCCUUUAUGUCUAAGAAAUGAGAUUUCAUAUUGAUGCAUAUUGACAUAAUAUAAGAAUGUGAAAAGAAUGCAUGUUAACAUACUAUAGAAUAUGCUAAAUGUAAUGCAUAAUGAAUUAAGUGCUAAAAGAAUGCAUGAGAUGCUAAGUAUGGACUAGUUUGGAUAAUGACUAUAUGUAUGUUGACAAAUCAUGUGAUGCUAGUGGUAUAUGUGCGUGAUGAUAUAAUAUGAAUUUACAUAUUGUGGAUUAUGUUAAAUAGAAAAACAUACUUGAUGACAUAUUGCCAUGUUGUGGAACAUAGUGGACAAUCUAUAUAUAUAUAUUAGAUCGAGUGGCAUUAAACCUAACAUCUUGAGCCUAGCAAACACUUGUGGUGAUUGAUCAUGUAUAUUCGGGUGUCAUUCAUGUAUGUUAGGAUCCUAUUAUUGUGUGAAUGUGAGAGUUGGACUUGGACAUUAGUAAACAAAGGCGACAUUGACAAUAGAGAUAUUGAUAUGCAUAGAGGAUAUAAUUGUUAAACAUAGUUUAACCAAGAGUGGCAUUGGACCAAGUUGACAUAGAGUGGCAUGAUUAAAUAGGUAGAAACCUAUUGUGACAUUGACAUUGUGACUAGUGGCUAUGUAUCCUCAAGUUGAGGAUUGGAUCGACACUCACGAUAAGUCUUGGCUUGAGGGAGGUAGCUCCCCCUCGAGCGGUGCGCUCCGGAGUUGGUCACCACUGGGCGUGGUAAAGUCCCACCAGUUGGCGGUCCCUAGGGAGGUUCGAGUCCCCCGUUAUUAAGGGAUUUGGUUGUGAGUUAUUGGGGUUAACAUGGUUAACCGGUAAGAUUGGGUCAUAGCCAAAUGAGUGUACAACAAGUAUGCAUUAUGAGUUAUGGAUUUGGUAUCCCAGUUGAGAGGAUCUAGGGCUGAGGUGUAUGUGAGACGUCCAUCGCCUCGAGCCUGGUUCUAGUGCGGUACUCCGCAGACGAUUGACUCAAGACCGAGUCGGGUGGUUAGCCUUGUAAAGGUAGAUGGAACUUUAUGAUUAAAACGGUGAUUGACAAGAAUCUAUGAUAAAGGAAACCUUAGAUAUCAAACGGAUGAGCUAUGGUUAGCAGAAUUGAAAGUAGUGUCGAAUGAACUACUAGUUGGUUGCAUAGUUGCAUUAUUGCAUGAUUUGCAUAUAGUAUUGCAUUAUUGCAUUCGUGAGGCAAUGCAUGGUUUUAUUCGUUGCAUAAUCAAGAUAUAUAUAUCUAUCUGUUUAUUGAACUAACUUGUAGUUGCCUCCCUUGGACCUAUUGGUCGAACUUUUCCCUUGGGUGGCCGUACCCACUGGGAACCAUGGAGUUGGUUCUCACCCCACGUGGUUUUGGGGUGUUACAGGUUCGCACGUGAGCGGCGCGGCGGCGCGAGGCGAAGGCGUAGCAUCAUAGUUAGCGCCCUACCACCGAGACCAGAGGUAGCGGUACCCUGAGUCGGCCUUACUUAGGGAUGCAAGAAAAUGAAAAGGAUCAAGUUGUAAUAAUAUUGAUAAAGCUAGAUUNAGUUGGUUCUCACCCCACGUGGUUUUGGGGUGUUACAGGUUCGCACGUGAGCGGCGCGGCGGCGCGAGGCGAAGGCGUAGCAUCAUAGUUAGCGCCCUACCACCGAGACCAGAGGUAGCGGUACCCUGAGUCGGCCUUACUUAGGGAUGCAAGAAAAUGAAAAGGAUCAAGUUGUAAUAAUAUUGAUAAAGCUAG
rnacentral:lncRNA from 1 species